GUGUGUGUGUGUGUGUGUGUGUGUGUGUGUGUGUGUAUGAGUGUGUAUGAGUGUAUGUGAAUGUGAGUGUAUGAGUAUGUGUAUGUAUGAGUGUGUGUGUAGAACUUUUUUCUUUUCCUCAAGAGAAGCAAACAAAAAUUCCAUUACUUGUGACCUUUCUCUGCAAUGGAAGUGAGCUGAUUUGAGGAGGUGAAUUGAUAGGAAUGGGGUGGGGGUGUUAACUGGCGAUGUAGCCAUUACAAAUGCUAUAGAAUGUUAAAACUAUAGCCUACUUGAACCACCUGUUGAAAUGCCACCUUAAUCAGAAAAGAAUCGGCUGAUGUGGCAGAUGUGGAUGAAGCUGCGCUUGAGUCUUCUCAAAGCUUUGUGAAACCACACGUGACUUAGUCCUGCUCGCUAGCAGGCAUAAAAAGCGAAUGUCCUAGAGCAAAUGUGGCGUCUCAGCAGGUGAGGGCACUUGCCACCAAACCUGAAGAUUUGUGUUUGGUCCCCCGGACUGACGGCUAGAAGGAGAAAACUGAUUCCCGGGUAUUGUCCUCUGACCGCACCACUACUGGGGAGUUCCCCAAGCCGACACCCCCAUGCACACAGGCACACAAAAUAAAAAAAUAAUGUAAAAAAUUU
rnacentral:lncRNA from 1 species